GAUGAACGCUGGCGGCGUGCCUAAUACAUGCAAGUCGAGCGAACAGAUGAGGAGCUUGCUCCUCUGACGUUAGCGGCGGACGGGUGAGUAACACGUGGAUAACCUACCUAUAAGACUGGGAUAACUUCGGGAAACCGGAGCUAAUACCGGAUAAUAUAUUGAACCGCAUGGUUCAAUAGUGAAAGACGGUUUUGCUGUCACUUAUAGAUGGAUCCGCGCCGCAUUAGCUAGUUGGUAAGGUAACGGCUUACCAAGGCGACGAUGCGUAGCCGACCUGAGAGGGUGAUCGGCCACACUGGAACUGAGACACGGUCCAGACUCCUACGGGAGGCAGCAGUAGGGAAUCUUCCGCAAUGGGCGAAAGCCUGACGGAGCAACGCCGCGUGAGUGAUGAAGGUCUUCGGAUCGUAAAACUCUGUUAUUAGGGAAGAACAAAUGUGUAGGUAACUAUGCACGUCUUGACGGUACCUAAUCAGAAAGCCACGGCUAACUACGUG
rnacentral:rRNA from 1 species